AGCAGCCGCGGUAAUUCCAGCUCCAAUAGCGUAUAUUAAAGUUGCUGCAGUUAAAAAGCUCGUAGUUGAAUUUCGGGAUCAAUAUGUUGGUCGUGCCUUGGUACGUACUAGCUUAUUGGUUUCUCCCUUCUGACGAACCAUGAUGUCAUUAAUUUGGUGUCAUGUGGAAUCAGGACUGUUACUUUGAAAAAAUUAGAGUGUUUAAAGCAGGCUCACGCUUGAAUACAUUAGCAUGGAAUAAUGAAAUAGGACGUUUGAUUCUAUUUUGUUGGUUUCUAGGAUCGACGUAAUGAUUAAUAGGGAUAGUUGGGGGCAUUAGUAUUCAAUUGUCAGAGGUGAAAUUCUUGGAUUUAUUGAAGACUAACUACUGCGAAAGCAUUUGCCAAGGAUGUUUUCAUUAAUCAAGAACGAAAGUUAGGGGAUCGAAGACGAUCAGAUACCGUCGUAGUCUUAACCAUAAACUAUGCCGACUAGGGAUCGGAUGAUGUUAAUUUUUAAUGUACUCU
rnacentral:rRNA from 1 species